CCAACAGGGAUUGCCUUAGUAACGGCGAGUGAAGCGGCAAUAGCUCAAAUUUGAAAGCUGGCGUCUUCGACGUCCGCGUUGUAAUUUGUAGAGGAUGCUUCGGCGAAGACUCCUGCCUAAGUCCCCUGGAACGGGGCGUCAUAGAGGGUGAGAAUCCCGUAUGUGGCGGGCAGUCUAAGCCAUGUGAAGCUCCUUCGACGAGUCGAGUUGUUUGGGAAUGCAGCUCUAAAUGGGAGGUAAAUUUCUUCUAAAGCUAAAUAUUGGCCAGAGACCGAUAGCGCACAAGUAGAGUGAUCGAAAGAUGAAAAGCACUUUGGAAAGAGAGUUAAAAAGUACGUGAAAUUGUUGAAAGGGAAGCGCUUGCAACCAGACUCGCUCGUAGUUGCUCAGCCGGCCUCUUGGCCGGUGUACUCUUCUACGAUCGGGCCAGCAUCAGUUCGGGCGGCAGGAUAAAGGUGUCGGGAAUGUAGCACCCUUCGGGGUGUGUUAUAGCCCGGCGCGGAAUGCUGCCAGCCUGGACUGAGGAUCUCGCUUCGGCAAGGAUGCUGGCGUAAUGGUUGUAAGCGGCCCGUCUUGAAACACGGACCAAGGAGUCUAACAUCUAUGCGAGUGUUUGGGUGUCAAACCCAUGCGCGUAAUGAAAGUGAACGGAGGUGGGAACCCCUCACGGGGUGCACCAUCGACCGAUCCUGAUGUCUUCGGAUGGAUUUGAGUAAGAGCAUAGCUGUUGGGACCCGAAAGAUGGUGAACUAUGCCUGAAUAGGGUGAAGCCAGAGGAAACUCUGGUGGAGGCUCGCAGCGGUUCUGACGUGCAAAUCGAUCGUCAAAUUUGGGUAUAGGGGCGAAAGACUAAUCGAACC
rnacentral:rRNA from 1 species